GAUGAACGCUGGCGGCGUGCCUAAUACAUGCAGGUUGAGCGAACGGACGAGAAGCUUGCUUCUCUGAUGUUAGCGGCGGACGGGUGAGUAACACGUGGAUAACCUACCUAUAAGACUGGGAUAACUUCGGGAAACCGGAGCUAAUACCGGAUAAUAUUUUGAACCGCAUGGUUCAAAAGUGAAAGACGGUCUUGCUGUCACUUAUAGAUGGAUCCGCGCUGCAUUAGCUAGUUGGUAAGGUAACGGCUUACCAAGGCAACGAUGCAUAGCCGACCUGAGAGGGUGGUCGGCCACACUGGAACUGAGACACGGUCCAGACGCCUACGGGAGGCAGCAGUAGGGAAUCGUCCGCAAUGGGCGAAAGCCUGACGGAGCAACGCCGCGUGAGUGGUGAAGGUCUUCGGAUCGUAAAACUCGGUUAUUAGUGAAGAACAUAUGUGUAAGGAACUGUGCACAUCUUGACGGUACCUAAUCAGAAAGCCACGGCUAACUACGUG
rnacentral:rRNA from 1 species